rnacentral:rRNA from 1 species
CGAUGGAUACUAGCUGUUGGAGGUAUCGACCCCUUCAGUAGCGAAGCUAACGCGUUAAGUAUCCCGCCUGUGGAGUACGGUCGCAAGACUAAAACAUAAAGGAAUUGACGGGGACCCGCACAAGCGGUGGAUCAUGUUCUUUAAUUCGAUGAUAAACGAAGAACCUUACCAGGGUUUGACAUCCUUGGAAUUUCUACGAAAGUAGAGAGUGCUUUAUUGAGCCAAGUGACAGGUGAUGCAUGGCCGUCGUCAGCUCGUGUCGUGAGAUGUUUGGUUAAGUCCAUCAACGAGCGCAACCCUUGUGAAUAGUUGUAUUUUUCUAUUCAGACUGCCCCGGCAACGGGGAGGAAGGAGGGGAUGAUGUCAGGUCAGUAUUUCCCUUACAUCCUGGGCUAGAAACGUGAUACAAUGGCCGGUACAAUGCGCAGCAAAGCCGCGAGGUGGAGCAAAUCGCAUCAAAGCCGGUCUCAGUUCGGAUAAGAGGCUGAAACUCGCCUCUUUGAAGUCGGAAUCGCUAGUAAUCGCAGGUCAGCAUACUGCGGUGAAUACGUUCCCGGGUCUUGUACACACCGCCCGUCAAACCAUGAAAGUCACCAACACCCGAAGUCCGAUUCGUCGGCCUAAGGUGGGGGGGAUGAUUGGGGU